rnacentral:rRNA from 1 species
UACGUAGGGGGCAAGCGUUGUCCGGAAUCAUUGGGCGUAAAGCGCGUGUAGGCGGCCAGAAAAGUCCGCUGUGAAAACUCGAGGCUCAACUUCGAGCUGUCGGUGGAAACUUUCUGGCUAGAGUCCGGAAGAGGAGAAUGGAAUUCCUGGUGUAGCGGUGAAAUGCGCAGAUAUCAGGAAGAACACCCGUGGCGAAGGCGGUUCUCUGGGACGGUACUGGCGCUGAGACGCGAAAGCGUGGGGAGCGAACAGG